rnacentral:SRP_RNA from 1 species
GCCGGGCGCGGUGGCUCACGCCUGUAAUUCCAGCACUUUGGGAGGCCGAGGUGGGGGGAUCACCUGAGGUCAGGAGUUCAAGACCAGCCUGACCAACAUGGCGAAACCCCAUCUCUA